CGUAGGCAGCGAGCGUUGUUCGGAGUUACUGGGCGUAAAGGGUGUGUAGGCGGUUGUUUAAGUUUGGUGUGAAAUCUCCCGGCUCAACUGGGAGGGUGCGCCGAAUACUGAAUGACUUGGAGUGCGGGAGAGGUGAGUGGAAUUCCUGGUGUAGCGGUGAAAUGCGUAGAUAUCAGGAGGAACACCGGUGGUGUAGACGGCUCACUGGACCGUAACUGACGCUGAGACACGAAAGCGUGGGUAGCAAACAGGAUUAGAUACCUUGGUAGUCCACGCCCUAAACGAUGCAUAUUUGGUGUGGGCAGUUCAUUCUGUCCGUGCCGGAGCUAAACGCGUUAAAAUAUGCCGCCUGGGGAGUACAGUCGCAAGGCUG
rnacentral:rRNA from 1 species